ACGCCAGGCCCGUUUCCGUGGAGACGACCUAUGACACAGCGGGAACUGAAAAGAAGAAGAAGAGGAGGCACUUCCUGAAUGGCUGCGUGUCCCGUGUCACGUUGGCCAUUUGCCUGAAAAAAGCCCCGCUGGGAUCAAAACAUGGCUCCUCUCCAGUCCGCUGAAGAUGAUUGUUUGGUUCCCGAUGGUCAAAAAAACCCCAAACAAGUGCUGGGUUGAGGGUAACAAACGGCCUCGUUGAGAGGCUGCAGCCUCAACGCGGACCUCACUGACCAGGAUUCCUCUGUUACCUUGGUC